CAGCUACAGGACAAGCCUUCCCACUAUUCACGGAUGGGGAAGAAAACUGCCCAACGGUUCCUGGACUGGCUUUCUUGGUCAACUUCACAGAGACGAAUGCGACGUCAAUUUCAUGUUCUUCAGCCCAACUGCCGAGCGGAAUGAGGUAGGCGAACCCAGCGACAUUUUGUGGUACGAAGACUUCAUCAUUGUGGGAGGCUUCAGCAAGGACGCUGUAGUACAGCAAACCAGCAUCACCAGUUCAUUUUCAGUUUUCCGAGCAGAGGUCUGGGUGCUUCUUUUCGGAUCUCUCGUGGUGUGUGCAAUCAUCCUGUCAAUGGCUCCAGGCUCCCGCUUCAAGUUUCUCUCCAGGUUAAAGGACAACACGUUUCGGCUCUUGGCAAGCGUGUUUCUUGAAGGCACGUGCUUUUCUU